ACACUAUCCAAUAUGGUAACCACUAGCCACUUGUGACUACUGAGUGUCUGAAAGGUGACUGGUACAACUGGGGAACUGAAUUUUAAAUUUUCUAUAAUUUAAAUUAAAACAGCCACAUUUAUUUUAUGGCUAUUAUAUUGUAUCCUAUAUCAUAUCAUAUUUAUAUAUCAUAUCAUAUGUUACAUGGUAUAUCAUAUUACAAAUGCAGCUUUAGAUCAUUACUUUCCCUAGAACACAAAUUACAUGAAAAUCUUGAGUACAAUGACAUAGUUACUGAUUUUGCCAGGAUAAAGGAAAAAGUAAAUGUUAUUUAAAAAGCAUAUAAUUUAUGAAUUAUUAAUAUCUUCAUUGAUUAUUCAUCCAAACACCACAGGCCCAUCAACAGAAUUCCCAGUAUAUGCGAUAAUAAUUAUGUUCAGUCAUCGUUGACGUUUUGCCAGCUUUCAGUCAAUUAGAAACUUUGAACUUUACUCGUAUUUUUCUAUCUAAUCAUUAUGAAGAUAUAUUUGUCAAGGAAGGAGAAUAGAAAGCAUGUUGUUCAACUCUUUGUGAUUUAGAACUGUUAAAUAUAGUCAUAUGAUAUGCAGGUUCUGCUUGAAUUCUUGCCCUGGCUCUUGGUGAAGGAUCGGCCUGCUGGAUCUGAGUCAUCCACCUAUAAGAGGGACAACACCACACAUUGGUCGCUGCUCUCAAGCCCCUGGAAUACCACCCCACUUGGCUUCUCCUGAUUCUGCUAUCAGCUACAGGUCUGGGUUUGUGUCUCCGACAAAGAACCACCUCAAAGCCCCACAGAAAAGGACUGUACCGUAUACUUCAAACUAUUGACACCUCAAAGAACAGAGCUUGGGUUCAGGCUUCUGAUGCAUUCUGAGACACUCUCAGACCAUACCAGUGGGCUGGGUCAGGAUUUACAGAACUAUUUUCAUUUCAAGAGCAUACGGGCUCAUGAGAUUGCUAACUCAAGAUCCGGUGGAACAGAAAUACUUAUAUCGGACUGAAUAAACUGAUGAGGAAAA
rnacentral:lncRNA from 1 species